rnacentral:rRNA from 1 species
CAGUACCGUGAGGGAAAGGUGAAAAGCACCCCGGGAGGGGAGUGAAACAGUACCUGAAACCGUGCGCCCACGAGCAGUCGGAGCAACUUUAUGUUGUGACGGCGUGCCUUUUGUAGAAUGAGCCAGCGAGUCGCUGGCGCGGGGCGAGGUUAACCGAAAGGGAGCCGGAGCGAAAGCGAGCCUUAACAGGGCGACUUGAGUCCCGCGCCGCGGACGCGAAGCCGGGUGAGCUAUCCGUGGGCAGGCUGAAGCGGGGGUAAGACCCCGUGGAGGGCCGAACGCACGUCGGUUGAAAACGGCGGCGAUGACCUGCGGAUAGGGGUGAAAGGCCAAUCAAACCCGGAGAUAUCUCGUUCUCCCCGAAAUAGCUUUAGGGCUAGCGUCGCGCGUUCACCGCCGGAGGUAGAGCACCGGAUGGACGAGGGGGCUUCGCCGCCUACCGAAUCCAACCGAACUCCGAAUGCCGGCGGCCCAGAGCGCGGCAGUCAGAGCAUGUGGGCUAAGCUGUGUGCUCGAGAGGGAAACAGCCCGGACCGCCCGCUAAGGUCCCCAAGUUCCAGCCGAGUGGCAAAGGAUGUGCGUCCGCCCAGACAACCAGGAUGUUGGCUUAGAAGCAGCCAUCCAUUCAAAGAGUGCGUAACAGCUCACUGGUCGAGUGGACAUGCGCCGACAAUACACGGGGCUAAGCUGGACACCGAAGCGGCGGGAUUUUGAUUUUCAGAAUCGGUAGGGGAGCUUCCCAUGGGCGGUGAAGCCGCCGGGCGACCGGCGGUGGAGCGCAUGGGAGUGAGAAUGCUGGCAUGAGUAGCGAGAGACGAGAGAGUAACUCGUCCGCCGUGAACCCGAGGUUUCCUGGGCAAGGCUAAUCCUCCCAGGGUCAGUCGGGGGCUAAGGCGAGGCCGGAAGGCGUAGCCGACGCGCAGCAGGCAGACAUUCCUGCACCGCGCACGCGGCGCUACGACCGACGGGGCGACGGAUGGGGGUGGCUCGGCGGGGUUCUGGACGUCCCCGUGAUGGAGCGCGGCCCGCGGACCAGGGAAAUCCGGUCCGCACGAGGGCGAGGCUCCGGACGAAGCAUCUGAGCGAAGCGAGUGAGCCCGAGGUCCCUAGAAAAACCCCUAGGCAGGCGCGUGCGCGCCCGUACCGCAAACCGACACAGGUGGGUGGGUAGAACAUACCGAGGCGAUCGGGUCAACCAUGGUCAAGGAACUCGGCACAAUGGCCCCGUAACUUCGGGAGAAGGGGUGCCCGCGCGUACGUGAACGGACUUGCUCCGGGAGCGGAGGCGGGCCGCAGUGGAGAGGCCCAAGCGACUGUUUACCAAAAACACAGGACUCUGCAGAAGCCGCAAGGCGACGUAUAGGGUCUGACGCCUGCCCGGUGCCGGAAGGUCACGCGGAGGAGUUAGCGCAUCGCGCGAAGCCCCGAAGCCAAGCCCCGGUAAACGGCGGCCGUAACUAUAACGGUCCUAAGGUAGCGAAAUUCCUUGUCGGGUAAGUUCCGACCUGCACGAAAGGCGCAACGACUUGGGCGCUGUCUCGACCAUGGACCCGGUGAAAUUGCACUGGUCGUGAAGAUGCGACUUACCCGCGGAAGGACGGAAAGACCCCGUGAACCUUCACUGCAGCUUGGCAUUGGCCGCUGGUCCCGCGUGUAGAGGAUAGGCAGGAGGCAUCGAUCCGGAGGCGCCAGCCCCCGGGGAGCCGCCCUUGGAAUACUGCCCUCGCGCGACCGGCGUCCUAACCCGAGGCCGUCAACCGGCUCGGGGACCGUGCCAGGCGGGCAGUUUGACUGGGGCGGUCGCCUCCUAAAGGGUAACGGAGGCGCGCGAAGGUCCGCUCGGGACGGUCGGCAACCGUCCUUUUGAAUGCAAGAGUACAAGCGGGCUUGACUGCGAGGCCCACAAGCCGAGCAGGUGCGAAAGCAGGCUCUAGUGAUCCGGCGGCCCCGAGUGGGUGGGCCGUCGCUCAACGGAUAAAAGGUACUCCGGGGAUAACAGGCUGAUCUUGCCCAAGAGUCCACAUCGACGGCAAGGUUUGGCACCUCGAUGUCGGCUCAUCGCAUCCUGGGGCUGAAGUAGGUCCCAAGGGUUGGGCUGUUCGCCCAUUAAAGCGGUACGCGAGCUGGGUUCAGAACGUCGUGAGACAGUUCGGUCCCUAUCCUCCG